CAGCUUAAUAGUCAAAUAAAUGAUUUUAAAUUGCAAGUUUAAAGGUAAGUAGUUUUUUAGGCU
rnacentral:tRNA from 1 species